GCCAGGCAUAGUGGCGCAUGCCUGUAAUCCCAGCUACUUGGGAGGCUGAGGCAGGGGACUCGCUUGAACCCGGGAGGCAGAGGUUGCAGUGAGCCGAGAUCGUGCCACUGCACUCCAGCUUGGGUGAAAGAGUGAGACUCUGUCUCAA
ensembl:misc_RNA Metazoa_SRP Metazoan signal recognition particle RNA